rnacentral:rRNA from 1 species
GAUGAACGCUGGCGGCGUGCUUAACACAUGCAAGUCGAACGAAGCACUUUAUUUGAUUUCCUUCGGGACUGAUUAUUUUGUGACUGAGUGGCGGACGGGUGAGUAACGCGUGGGUAACCUGCCUUGUACAGGGGGAUAACAGUUGGAAACGGCUGCUAAUACCGCAUAAGCGCACGGCAUCGCAUGAUGCAGUGUGGAAAACUCCGGUGGUAUAAGAUGGACCCGCGUUGGAUUAGCUAGUUGGUGAGGUAACGGCCCACCAAGGCGACGAUCCAUAGCCGACCUGAGAGGGUGACCGGCCACAUUGGGACUGAGACACGGCCCAAACUCCUACGGGAGGCAGCAGUGGGGAAUAUUGCACAAUGGGCGAAAGCCUGAUGCAGCGACGCCGCGUGAGCGAAGAAGUAUUUCGGUAUGUAAAGCUCUAUCAGCAGGGAAGAUAAUGACGGUACCUGACUAAGAAGCAC